AUGAGAAGAAAUAAUAAAUGUAUUAAAGCCUUGCAAGAUGGUAAAUUGUCAUUGGGUUUGCUUCAUUUGCAUAGGUUGUGACCGGAAGGUGGAGUUUUUGCAGCUGGAACUUGUUAAGGCCCAUUAGCAGGAGCCAUGAAGUCGAUGCCAUAUUGUUUUGGUCAGAUGAGUUGUAAUCAGUACUUAGACCCCAGUGAAUGGCUUCCUCGUUCCCUGUGUUUGUUGAGCAAGUCUCUUUGAGAUUACUGUCUUGAAUCUCCUCACAAAUCCCUCGAUGGCCCUCCUGGAAACUGCUGCCCAGAAUCCUUACCAUUGUGUUCUUCUCACUCACCUCCAUGUCCACCCACCAACAUGUCACCAUAUCUCCACAGUGUCUUGAUAGAGAAAGAAAAGGAAGACAAUAAACACUAAUCACCUGCCAA